rnacentral:ncRNA from 2 species
GUGAUCCUCACUGGAGAGAGCCCGGUAGCAGCUGCAAAGCCAUGCAAGCCGGGCCACCGAAGGGGCAAGCCUUAACCGCGGUCGCAUCGGCUGCGAGGGGUCAAUCUCUCAGGUAAAGCGGACAGCGAGGGCAAG